rnacentral:lncRNA from 1 species
GAAAUCCAUAGGGUCUAUCCUGAAAUCUCAAACCACCCAAAUGUAAGAAUAGUUAUUCUUAGAAACUAUUUGCAGUGUGGCUAUUAUCUUUGUGUUUGUACAGUCUACUCAUUGGAUCUAACUGUGCCCCCUUCCCCUGUCAUCCUUCUUGUACCAUUUGCCAGUGCUUGUCCCUCAGCGAGCUCACAUCACUGCCAUGCCACAAGGAGAAGCAAAACUGAAGAAAUUAUAUCCCGUGGAGCACAAAGAUUUCCCACCAUCCUACAGGCCAACACUGUUGGUACACUCAGUACCUCAGCAGCUGUACAGCUGAGGACGGAUCUGCGCCCAGUUUGUACCGGCUCAGCUCAGGAGAUGCGGGGAGCGGUGCAGGCCUCGAGACGUGGGCGGCUGGAGCACAGUCACCUCGCAGGUAACUCCGUGCCUGGGUUUCUGCUCUUUCUUCCCACAGUCCCCAGGAAGGGACGCCCGGGGGGUAGGGGCGGAAGGCAACGCGAGGGGCUGGGAUGCUUCUCGACGCACCUGGGAGCGCGAAGUUUCAUAAAAAGCAGCGACCGCGGGCAGCCCACAGAAUGCCGUCCCGCCGUGCAAGGCCGGAUCAAACAUACCCAUCCCCGCAGUUUGUUUUUGGCUGCACGGUGCACUCCCACAUGCAAAUCGCCGCACCCUCCCCCACCCCCAACAGCAGCCGCUGCCGAGGGAAAAUAAAAAAAAAAAGGGGCGCGGAGGACAGGAGAGGGGGGAAAAGAAGAACGGAAAGAGCAAAGAGAAAAGGCGACAGAGCGAAG